rnacentral:rRNA from 1 species
GUGGCGAACGGGUGAGUAACACGUGGGGAAUCUGCCCAUGAGCGAGGAAUAACAUUCGGAAACGGAUGCUAAUACCUCAUAAGUUCUCUGACCUCCUGGUCAUUGAAUAAAAGACGGCCUUUGUGCUGUCACUCAUGGAUGAUCCCGCGGCGUAUUAGUUAGUUGGUGAGGUAAUGGCUCACCAAGACCAUGAUACGUAGCCGACCUGAGAGGGUGAUCGGCCACACUGGGACUGAGAACGGCCCAG